rnacentral:rRNA from 1 species
UACGUAGGGGGCAAGCGUUGUCCGGAAUCAUUGGGCGUAAAGCGCGCGUAGGCGGCCCGAUAAGUCCGCUGUGAAAGUCCAGGGCUCAACCCUGGGAUGCCGGUGGAUACUGUCGGGCUCGAGUCCGGAAGAGGCGAGUGGAAUUCCUGGUGUAGCGGUGAAAUGCGCAGAUAUCAGGAGGAACACCAAUGGCGAAGGCAGCUCGCUGGGACGUGACUGACGCUGAGACGCGAAAGCGUGGGGAGCAAACAGG